AAAAAAAAAAAACAGACCAGGUGCGGUGUCUCACACCUGUAAUCCCAGCACUUUGGGAGGCUGAGACUGGUGGAUCACUUGAUGUCAGAAGUUCAAGACCAGCCUGGCCAACAUGGUGAAAUCCUGUCUCUACUAAAACUACAAGAAUUAGCAGGGUGUGGUGGUACACACCUGUAAUCCCAGCUACUUGGGAGGCUGCGGCAGGAGAACUGCUUGAACUUGGAAGGUGGAGGUUGCAGUGAGCCGAGAUUGUGCCACUGCACUCCAGCCUGGGCAACAGAGCAAGACUCUGUCUCAAAACACACACACAAACGUACCCAUGAAUCUCUGUAGUUUUGAUAAUACCAAGGUCACACCAAUGCCAGCCUUGGGCAUGGUUGUGGGUGGAGCUUUCUGAGCAAAGCAUUCCAUGCCAAUUGUAUGUAGCCCUACGAGGUGGGUUUCAUUAUAAACGCCAGUUUACAGGCCGGGCGCGGUGGCUCACGCCUGUAAUCUCAGCACUUUGGGAGGCCGAGGUGGGUGGAUUGCUUGAGGCCAGGAGGUUGAGACCAGCCUGGGCAACAUGGUGAAACCCCAUCUCUACUAAAAAUACCAAAAAAAAAAAAAAAAGGCCGGGCGCAAUGGCUCAUGCCUGUAAUCCCAGCACCUUGGGAGGCCGAGGCGGGUGGAUCACGAGGUCAGGAGAUCGAGACCAUCCUGGCUAACACGGUGAAACCCCGUCUCUACUGAAAAUACCAAAAAAUUAGCCGGGUGUGGUGGCGGGUGCCUGUAGUCCCAGCUACUCGGGAGGCUGAGGCAUGAGAAUUGCUUGAACCCAGGAGGCAGAGGUUGCAGUGAGCUGAGAUCAUACCAUUGCACUCCAGCCUGAGUGACAGAGCAAGAUUCUGACUCAAAAAAUAAAAUAAAAUAAAAUAAAUACUCCAGUUUACAAAGAAACAGGCCCAGAGAGGCAAUGUGACCAUAAGGGUCAGAGGACACGGGGCCACGUCAGCCUGAGCUUCACACCUGCCCUGCGGCCACGGCUCCAUUCCCAGAGUGGCCAGGACCGUAGGACCCUGUGCCUUGGGGACAUGUCCUGGGGUCUGACUCUCUGUGCCAAUGAGUCAGGGCUGCCCUGGGCCUGAGAAUACCCAGACAGGACUGGUGCCCGUGGGCAGGUGUCUGCCACCCCAGGCAGAGCCAAGUGGCCUGUCCACGAUCCCCCUGUGGAGCACUCCUAUGUGGUCUCUGGAGGGAAUCCAUGGAGUCCCAGCAGCCAAUGGAGACGACAAGGUCAGAGAUGUGGAGACCGAGGGCUGGAGAGAAAGAGGCGCAGCUCACCUAAUGGUCAAUCGGUCAAUCGCUGCCAUGCUGUCCUGCAGGACCAGGGACAAAACGAGCCCUAGGACACGAAGAGGACGCUGGCCUGUAGCUCCGCAGUGACGGUGACCCCAGGCUGUCCUGCAGGACCAGGGACAAAACGAGCCCUAGGACACGAAGAGGACGCUGGCCUGUAGCUCCGCAGUGACGGUGACCCCAGGCUGUCCUGCAGGACCAGGAACAAAACGAGCCCUAGGACACGAAGAGGACGCUGGCCUGUAGCUCUGCAGUGAUGGUCACCCCAGCUUGUCCACGCUGACUUCUCACCUUUCCCAGGACGGUUGGCGCCUUUCAUUCUCUGGGGCGAAAACAGUCAGGACAUUCAUCCAACACUGAGCCGUGUCUCUUCCAGCAGCGAUGGCCAAGGCAUAGCCUUUGCUAUUCAGGGACUGAAAGCAGGGAACUUCCACUGUGUGACAACAUUACAAAUUUAAACUCUGUACUUAAAAAAAGAAAGCCAGCUGGGCGUGGUGGCUCACGCCUGUAAUCCCAGCACUUUGGGAGGCCGAGGCAGGUGAAUCACGAGGUCAGGAGAUUGAAACCAGCCUGACCAACAUGGUGAAACUCUGUCUCUACUACAAAUAGAAAAAUUAGCUGGGUGUGGUGCUGCGUGCCUGUAAUUCCAGCUACCCAGGAGGCUGAGGCAAGAGAAUCUCUUGAACCCAGGAGGCGGAGAUUGCAGUGAGCUGAGAUCAUGCCACUGCACUCCAGCCUGGGCAACAGAGCGAGAC
rnacentral:lncRNA from 1 species